rnacentral:rRNA from 1 species
AGUGAACGCUGGCGGUAGGCCUAACACAUGCAAGUCGAACGGCAGCACAGUAAGAGCUUGCUCUUACGGGUGGCGAGUGGCGGACGGGUGAGGAAUACAUCGGAAUCUACUUUUUCGUGGGGGAUAACGUAGGGAAACUUACGCUAAUACCGCAUACGACCUACGGGUGAAAGCAGGGGAUCUUCGGACCUUGCGCGGUUGAAUGAGCCGAUGUCGGAUUAGCUAGUUGGCGGGGUAAAGGCCCACCAAGGCGACGAUCCGUAGCUGGUCUGAGAGGAUGAUCAGGCACACUGGAAGUGAGACACGGUACAGACACCGACGGGAGGCAGCAGUGGGGAAUAUUGGACGAUGGGCGCAAGCCUGAUCCAGCCAUACCGGGUGGGUGAAGAAGGCCUUCGGGUGGGAAAGCCCUUUUGUUGGGAAAGAAAAGCAGCAGGUUAAUACCCCGCUGUGCUGACGGUACCCAAAGAAUAAGCACCGGCUAACUUCGUG